rnacentral:rRNA from 1 species
GGGGCCCGCACAAGCGGUGGAGCAUGUGGUUUAAUUCGAUGCUACACGAAGAACCUUACCAGGGUUUGACAUGCAAGUGGUAGGAAACUGAAAAGGGACCGACCCUUCGGGAGCCUAUACAGGUGUUGCAUGGCUGUCGUCAGCUCGUGUCGUGAGAUGUUCGGUUAAGUCCGCUAACGAGCGCAACCCUCGUCGUAUGUUAUAUGUGUCAUACGAGACUGCCGGUAAAAGCCGGAGGAAGGUGAGGAUGAUGUCAAGUCAGCAUGACCUUUAUAUCCAGGGCUACACACACGCUACAAUGGUCUGUACAAUGGGUAGCCAAGCCGCGAGGCGGAGCCAAUCCUGAAAGCAGGCCUCAGUUCAGAUUGCAGUCUGCAACUCGACUGCAUGAAGCCGGAGUUGCUAGUAACCGCAGGUCAGCAAUACUGCGGUGAAUACGUUCCCGGGUCUU